UUGACUGCGUUGAAAGGGACAGUACAGCAUUCUAUAUGCUUUUAAGAUUAAGCGAUCCAGGGACGGUGGGAGCCUGGAAUAAGCAGAUUGCUGGAAGAUCACCCUAGAGUACCUGCCUGAACGUUCUCCGAACCAGUAAGGUGCAGGCGUUUCAUCCGCGUUAAGGAUGCUUUGAGCGGGCAGAAUGAUUCUUUUCUGUCUACAAGGGUGGUACCGCGGGAGCUAUAAGCCUUCUCGUCCCUUUA
rnacentral:ncRNA from 1 species